CCUCCCGGGCGUCCGGGGGAGGAGGGGAGCAUGAAGCGCUUUUGCGGGACCGGACCGAUCGUCGAGGCGGCCGAUCGUUGCGGCCUGGGGGGC
rnacentral:tRNA from 1 species